UACGGGAGGCAGCAGUGGGGAAUCUUCCGCAAUGGGCGAAAGCCUGACGGGGCAACGCCGCGUGAGUGAUGAAGGUCUUCGGAUCGUAAAACUCUGUUAUUAGGGAAGAACAAAUGUGUAAGUAACUAUGCACGUCUUGACGGUACCUAAUCAGAAAGCCACGGCUAACUACGUGCCAGCAGCCGCGGUAAU
rnacentral:rRNA from 1 species